AAUUUACCUGUGUUUGAAUGCCUGCUCUAUGAUAGACAUGUGAAAUGAGUGCCAUUUUCAGUCUCACUAUUGAGCACAUUUUGACCUCUAAGAAACUUUCUGCAAUUCACAUCAG
ensembl:misc_RNA